AUUGAACGCUGGCGGCAGGCCUAACACAUGCAAGUCGAACGAGUGGCGGACGGGUGAGUAAUGUCUGGGAAACUGCCUGAUGGAGGGGGAUAACUACUGGAAACGGUAGCUAAUACCGCAUACCAUCGGAUGUGCCCAGAUGGGAUUAGCUAGUAGGUGGGGUAAAGGCUCACCUAGGCGACGAUCCCUAGCUGGUCUGAGAGGAUGACCAGCCAUCCUGGAACUGAGACACGGUCCAGACUCCUACGGGAGGCAGCAGUGGGGAAUAGUGCACAAGGGGCGCAAGCCGGAUGCAUCCAUUCCGCGUGUAGGAAGAAGGCCUGCGGGUUGUAAAGUACUUUCAGCGGGGAGGCGUUACCCGCAGAAGAAGCACCGGCUAACUCAGUGCCAGCCGCCGCGGUAAUUC
rnacentral:rRNA from 1 species